rnacentral:ncRNA from 1 species
AUUUGUUUAACUGUGGCUAUAGAAAGUAGUGUUAUUUUAACUGCAUGAGAAUGUUUUAGAUUUGUGAAAAUGUAUGUGAGUUUUGUGUAAUCAGCAGUUAAUUUUUUAUUAGGAUUAUUGGUCCUUUGGGAAAGUAACAAUAAAGGGGAUAGGACACAGUGCCAGCUUCUGCGGUUAAUCUGUUUUCUUUGCUUUUUUGUAGGUUGAAAUUUUAUGUUUAGAAGUAAAGUUGGGUGAAAUUUUUUUAUUGUUAUAUUUUACGUAAAGUUAUUAAAAAAUAUUUUUAGUGACAGGGAUUAGAUACCCCAUUAAUUAAUUAUUUUAUUGUGCCUUAGUUUUGAAACUAAAAUAGUUUGGCAGUAUGCGAACCCGACCAGGGGAGGGUGUGUUAUAAAGGAUGAUCCGCCUAUUAUUUUACUUAAUUUAUGUUGGUGUAUAUCUGGUUUAAUAUUAUUACUUAAUAGUAUGAGUUAGUGUAGGUUUAUAGUUAAGCUAAGUCUAUGUGCUGCUUAUUUAAGUUUUCAUGCGCUACAUUUAUAAUAUUAUGUAUGGAUGAAUUAUAAGAUUUAGGACUUGGUAGUAAUGUGAAAUUAAUUUGUUCAUGUGAAUUUGGUUUAGUUUAGGUACACACCGCCCGUCACCCUCGAUUUUUGUUGAGGUAAGUCGUAACAAGGUAACUUUAAAGGAAUUUGGAGUUAAUUACUGAUGAUUCAAAUCAGUUGUA